UACCAGCACCCCGAGUGGUCGGGACGAUUAUUGGGCCUAAAGCAUCCGUAGCCGGUUCUGCAAGUCCUCCGUUAAAUCCAACUGCUUAACAGAUGGGCCGCGGAGGAAACUACAGAGCUAGGAGGCAGGAGAGGCAAGCGGUACUCAGUGGGUAGGGGUAAAAUCCGUUGAUCCAUUGAAGACCACCAGUGGCGAAGGCGGCUUGCCAGAAUGCGCUCGACGGUGAGGGAUGAAAGCUGGGGGAGCAAACCGGAUUAGAUACCCGGGUAGUCCCAGCCGUAAACGAUGCAGACUCGGUGAUGGGUUGGCUUCGUGCUAACCCAGUGCCGCAGGGAAGCCGUUAAGUCUGCCGCCUGGGUAGUACGGUCGCAAGACUGAAACUUAAAGGAAUUGGCGGGGGGCACAGCAACAGGAGGAGCGUGCGGUUU
rnacentral:rRNA from 1 species